rnacentral:ncRNA from 1 species
GAACGUUGAGUCAAGGGAGCGCGCCAAGGAGCGUUGUCUUGAGGAGUUCAGAGGGUAAGGGUUGUACGUUACCUCAACUUGGCUCUAAACCAUGAAAUAUUUGGUUGACAGAAAACGUACAUA